rnacentral:rRNA from 1 species
CGCCAGUCUGCAUGGAGCCGACCUUGAAAUACCACCCUUUAAUGUUUGAUGUUCUAACGUGGACCCGUGAUCCGGGUUGCGGACAGUGUCUGGUGGGUAGUUUGACUGGGGCGGUCUCCUCCUAAAGAGUAACGGAGGAGCACGAAGGUUGGCUAAUCCUGGUCGGACAUCAGGAGGUUAGUGCAAUGGCAUAAGCCAGCUUGACUGCGAGCGUGACGGCGCGAGCAGGUGCGAAAGCAGGUCAUAGUGAUCCGGUGGUUCUGAAUGGAAGGGCCAUCGCUCAACGGAUAAAAGGUACUCCGGGGAUAACAGGCUGAUACCGCCCAAGAGUUCAUAUCGACGGCGGUGUUUGGCACCUCGAUGUCGGCUCAUCACAUCCUGGGGCUGAAGUAGGUCCCAAGGGUAUGGCUGUUCGCCAUUUAAAGUGGUACGCGAGCUGGGUUUAGAACGUCGUGAGACAGUUCGGUCCCUAUCUGCCGUGGGCGCUGGAGAACUGAGGGGGGCUGCUCCUAGUACGAGAGGACCGGAGUGGACGCAUCACUGGUGUUCGGGUUGUCAUGCCAAUGGCACUGCCCGGUAGCUAAAUGCGGAAGAGAUAAGUGCUGAAAGCAUCUAAGCACGAAACUUGCCCCGAGAUGAGUUCUCCCUGACUCCUUGAGAGUCCUGAAGGAACGUUGAAGACGACGACGUUGAUAGGCCGGGUGUGUAAGCGCAGCGAUGCGUUGAGCUAACCGGUACUAAUGAACCGUGAGGCUUAACCUUACAACGCCGAAGCUGUU